AUUGAACGCUGGCGGCAGGCCUAACACAUGCAAGUCGAGCGGAUGAAGGGAGCUUGCUCCUGGAUUCAGCGGCGGACGGGUGAGUAAUGCCUAUGAAUCUGCCUGGUAGUGGGGGAUAACGUCCGGAAACGGGCGCUAAUACCGCAUACGUCCUGAGGGAGAAAGUGGGGGAUCUUCGGACCUCACGCUCUCAGAUGAGCCUAGGUCGGAUUAGCUAGUUGGUGGGGUAAAGGCCUUCCAAGGCGACGAUCCGUAACUGGUCUGAGAGGAUGAUCAGUCACACUGGAACUGAGACACGGUCCAGACUCCUACGGGAGGCAGCAGUGGGGAAUAUUGGGCAAUGGGGGAAAGCCUGAUCCAGCCAUGCCGCGUGUGUGAAGAAGGUCUUCGGAUUGUAAAGCACUUUAAGUUGGGAGGAAGGGCAGUAAGUUAAUACCUUGCUGUUUUGACGUUACCAACAGAAUAAGCACCGGCUAACUUCGUG
rnacentral:rRNA from 1 species